UUCAUUAGCAUAUUAUUUGAAGAAAGGCAUUCACUUUUUCACAGGUUACUUCCUUGCUCCUGAAAAUGAUGAUGUUCUAUUUUCUACUAUUUGUGUCUAAAAAUUUAAACAGGUUAGUAUAUCCUCUGCAUAAAUGCUGCAAAAUACAAUGCACAAUAAUUUUGUUAAAAUUACUAAAUGUUAGUACAAAAUUUGAUUAGUUUUCUUAAUAAUUGUUUCCUUAUUUUUCAUAUCUAUAUAUACAAUCAUUCUAAAGUUAAGAACUGACUACUCUCUUGAUAAUGGAGAAAUCUUUCAACACACAAAAACAAAAUUUUUAUUGUCUUUCAAAUAGGUCCUGAGAAGAGGAUUAGAAAAAGGCAACACAUCAAAAAGUUAAGAGGCAGAAAUAGCUUUUAUGUUGCUGGUAAAUUUAAUGAGAUCUUAAGUUAUUAGACUGGCAAGUCUCAUCUCUUUGAGCAUCUCAGUGAAGACUGUCAGAAAUCAUCAAAAUUCAACACAACAGAGUAAAAGCUAAUAGCCUUUUUGUUAUACCAAAACUGAAAGGAUUGAUGUUCUUAAGUAACAAAAAGCAAUAAAGAUAAAAUACAGGACAUCAAAGAUAUCACAUACAUUCAUAUAUCUCAAGAAAUGAAAGCAAUGAAAGAGCUGUGGUAUGAUCCAUAUUUUUUGUUUGUUGACAACUAAUGCAAAAUUCCAAACAAUAAUGAAGCAACUACAGAUUUGGGGAAAAUAAUAAAUCAGAAAGAGCAAUUGAGAGAGCCUUUUUAGAAAAAAGUUUUCUCCUUUGGAAUUAUGUUACAUUUUGAGUAAUUAUUAUGAUAGUCAACCAUUAAUUUAUACAUUUGUUUUUAAUUUAACAUAUAUUUUGAGUAUUAAAUAUAUCAGGCACUAUUAUAGGUGCUUGUGCUAAUUAACAACCAGUUUUCUAGAAUGUGUAAAGUGCCAUAGAAAAUACCUCUUGGGUUCUAUGCUCACUACCUGGAUGAUGGGUUCAGUCAUACCCCAAACCUCAGCAUCAUGCAGUAUACUCUGUAACAAACCCUCACAUAUAUCCUCAAAUCUAAAAGUUGAAAUUUAAAAAAAUAAAAAUAAAAAGCAAAUGAUUAUAUUAAGUAUAUUAACUAAAACAAAACUAAGUGAUUCUGUUUUAGAAAAAGAAUUUAGAAAUGAAGGGGAGUGGAGACUAGAAUAACACUUAUGGUGUUCAAUCAGAAUCAAAACUAUCAAUAUAUACUUAAGUUUACUUUUUUUCUACAUUAGAUAGAAAUUGAAAAGAAUGUGUAGAUAUAUAAA
rnacentral:lncRNA from 1 species